AUGUUCCCAGUGACCAUUCUGCUGCUCAGCGCGUUCUUCUCACUGAGAGGAAACAGUGCCCAGUCCGUGGACCAGCCUGAUGCUCAUGUCACGCUCUCUGAAGGAGCCUCCCUGGAGCUCAGAUGCAGUUAUUCAUACAGUGCAGCACCUUACCUCUUCUGGUACGUGCAGUAUCCUGGCCAGAGCCUCCAGUUUCUCCUCAAAUACAUCACAGGAGACACCGUUGUUAAAGGCACCAAGGGCUUUGAGGCCGAGUUUAGGAAGAGUAACUCCUCUUUCAACCUGAAGAAAUCCCCAGCCCAUUGGAGCGACUCAGCCAAGUACUUCUGUGCACUGGAGGG